rnacentral:rRNA from 1 species
UUGCACAGGUGCUGCAUGGCUGUCGUCAGCUCGUGUCGUGAGAUGUUGGUUAAGUCCCGCAACGAGCGCAACCCUUGUCAUUAGUUGCCAUCAUUUAGUUUGGGCACUCUAAUGAGACUGCCGGUGACAAACCGGAGGAAGGUGGGGAUGACGUCAAGUCCUCAUGGCCCUUAUGGGUAGGGCUUCACACGUCAUACAAUGGUCGGUACAGAGGGUUGCCAAGCCGCGAGGCGGAGCCAAUCCCACCAAAGCCGAUCGUAGUCCGGAUUGUUCUCUGCAACUCGAGAGCAUGAAGUCGGAAUCGCUAGUAAUCGCAGGUCAGCAUACUGCGGUGAAUACGUUCCCGGGUCUU